AGGCGCCGUUGUCACUUCCUCUGCCCUAGGCAACCUGCUGGUCCAGCUCCUCUUUCACUUCCCCACCCCACUGUGGAGCACCAGCCGCCAUCCGUUUGUAUUUAUAUAGAUAAAUCGGCCAGGCUAAUUAAAGUGCUCUUGCUGCAGCAAGAGAAUUAAUAAAAGGACUUGGAAUGGAGCCGACCUAAAGCUGGGGCGCUGGGAGUCAGAGCUGAACCCUCAGCAGCAAAGGAGGCCAGAAGGGCCAGAAGGCACGUGAGCCACCCCACUCCCUCUUAGGGGGAGGGGCCAGCAGACACCUCCUCCUACAUCAUGCCUGCCUAGAAGCUGCCGUGCUCCCGCCUUGAUGAUGUCCUUAUAAGAGUUGCCUUGGUCAUGGUGCCUGUUCACAGCAAUGGAAAACCUAACUAAGACAGACACAGAGGCCCGGGAAGGCUGAGGUAUCUAAGCAGAGCUAGAGAAAGAAUCCAAGGAGCUAAAGAGAUCUGCAACCCUGUAGGUGCAACAACAUCAUGAACUAACCAGUACCCCGGAGCUCUUGACUCUAGCUGCAUAUGUAUCAAAAGAUGGCCUAGUCGGCCAUCACUGGAAAGAGAGGCCCAUUGGACACGCAAACUUUAUAUGCCCCAGUACAGGGGAACGCCAGGGCCAAAAAGUGGGAAUGGGUGGGUAGGGGAGUGGGGAGGAGGGUAUGGGGGACUUUUGGAAUAGCAUUGGAAAUGUAAUUGAGGAAAAUACGUAAUAAAAAAAAAGUGAGACUUGG
rnacentral:lncRNA from 1 species